rnacentral:misc_RNA from 1 species
AAUGAGGACUCUGAUGCUGCAAAACAAAAAAAGACAUACGAUUAAUCAAAUAGCAAGCAGUAAGGACAGCAUCCCCCCAAAAACGAAAAGGUACAUGAUGAUGAAGGAGCAAAGUAUGAGCUGUUUCAAUUAGAUGUCUAUUUUUACGCUCAGCUACUCCGUUUUGUUGAGUAGUAUGGGCACAAGAAGGCUGAUAAAUGAUACCCUUAGAUGACAUAAAGGUUUGAAAAGGAAGAGAAAAAUAUUCUCGUGCAUUAUCACUAUACAACACUUUAAUAGAAAUACCAAAUUGAGUACGUAUCUCAGCAAAAAAAUUUUAAAAAAUAGAAAAUAACUCAGAACGAUUUUUCAUUAAAUAUAGCUAUAUAACACGAGAGUAAUCAUCCACAAAAGUAACAAAUUAUCUAAAUCCAAGUGUAAAAGUAAUAGAACAAGGACCCUAAAUACCAAAAUGAACUAAUUCAAAAGGGGGCGAAGCCCGUUUAUUAACUCUAGGCA